GAUGAACGCUGGCGGCGUGCCUAAUACAUGCAAGUCGAGCGAACAGAUGAGGAGCUUGCUCCUCUGACGUUAGCGGCGGACGGGUGAGUAACACGUGGAUAACCUACCUAUAAGACUGGGAUAACUUCGGGAAACCGGAGCUAAUACCGGAUAAUAUAUUGAACCGCAUGGUUCAAUAGUGAAAGACGGUUUUGCUGUCACUUAUAGAUGGAUCCGCGCCGCAUUAGCUAGUUGGUAAGGUAACGGCUUACCAAGGCGACGAUGCGUAGCCGACCUGAGAGGGUGAUCGGCCACACUGGAUCUGAGACACGGUCCAGACUCCUACGGGAGGCAGCAGUAGGGAAUCUUCCGCAAUGGGCGAAAGCCUGACGGAGCAACGCCGCGUGAGUGAUGAAGGUCUUCGGAUCGUAAAACUCUGUUAUUAGGGAAGAACAAAUGUGUAAGUAACUAUGCACGUCUUGACGGUACCUAAUCAGAAAGCCACGGCUAACUACGUG
rnacentral:rRNA from 1 species